UGACCAGCUUCUUACUAGAUCUUCAUUCCCAGAAUGCCAGAGUGGAAAGCAACCUGGAGAGGGCCACUGUCCACAGCCCCCAGGCACAGCCGCCUGGCCCCAGCACUGUCUGGUGUCCUUGCCAAGUCAUUUCACUCCAUGCCUCAGUUUGCUCAUCUAUGCGGAGUGGGCAGGACCUCUGGACAGUGUGCAAGGCACAUCUGGGCACAGGAACCAGGAUGGAGACCCUGGGAACUGCACCUGGCAGAGGACACGUGCCCUAAGACCUACCUCGGGAGGUGCCCUGCAGGGACAGCAGAGGGGACCGGUGGAGCCCAGAAUUGGAGGCAGUUCCGUUCCCUGCGAGAGACUCCCUGAACCUGUUGGGAGUCGUGGCUGGGGAAGAGCUCGUCCUGGCUGCCUGGCCACCUGACCAUGGACCUCCACGCUCGUGUGGCAGCAGGGACCGUGCCUGUGUGGAGAGCUGGCUUCUCUGCCCCCGGGGCCUGGCCCUCCAGAGAUGGGAAGUGGCUGGCCUCUGAUGACACGGCACACUGGCAACAGUCCUGGCUCCAGAGGCACGGCCUCCCGGUGUGAGCCACGCUGCAGGCUUCACCUGCCUUUCAGCGAAGGUUCUUCCCAGACUUGGGGGCAUGGAGGCCUUGGAAAAGCUGACAGAGGCGAUGAACCGUCUUCCUAGGGAGCCACACAUUCCCAUGUAGAUGCAGGAAUCUACCAGCAGCACCAGGAGCUCCUGGACUCCAGGCUGGAACCUCAACCCGGACCCAACCCACCUCCAGCCCCUCCCUGGCCCCGAGGGUCCACCACAGUAGCAUUCCGCCCUCCCCUGUCGGUCCUCCUUCCCUUGUUCAGGAAUAAAACAUUCUGAGGAGGGGA